AAUAUCUAUAAAUACCCUUAUUUAUAUAUAAUUUGGGAGAUAUAUUAUUAUUGAUAAAAAUUCAACAGAGGUUUCUCUCCCUAUUUUCACUCUUGUGUAUGGAAUGUAUUUCUGUUUGAGUUUUAUGCUGCGUGGUAUCAGAGCAGGAAAAUCACCCCAAUCGAGAUGGUUCACCUUGAUAGAGGUGGUAAUUACAAUGGUUCUUACAACGGUGAUAGAGGAACUAGAACCCUUUACCAUAGAGACAAAACAUUGGAAUGAUGGGAGCGACGUUCGGAGCGACAGAUGGAUCUUAGAUUCGAGCGCAUCGAGAGACACCUCGAAGAAAUUGUAGAUUGUCUUGGUGCUUUGGGAA
rnacentral:misc_RNA from 1 species